rnacentral:lncRNA from 10 species
GUGGGACCCCGAUUUGGGGAACCAGGCGGGAUGGAGCGUGGAGUGGGGGGAAGAGGUAGCAAAAGCUUGGUAGCUGGCUUUGCUGCCUCCUGAGGAAGGGGCACAGAAUCUCCCCUUCCCUGCCACAGGUAGUGGGGGUUCCUCCCUCCCCACCCCCUUAAAAUCCUUCUUUACCAGGAACUGCCUGAUCCAGAUGAAUCUCUUCUCCGGGGCCCACUAGUCUCUAAGAAAGGGACCAUGGAAUUCCUUUCUUCCCCGAAGAGCUCCCCACUCUCCCUGACCAGAGUCUCCUUGAUCUGGAGGCUGGGCAGCCCCCGGGGACCCGGUGGCCGCCGCUGACCCCGUGGCAUGCGGCUCUCAAAGGCCCCAUUCAUCUCUGGGGGCUGAAGGCGCCAUUGUCCCCAGCGGGGGGUGGUGUGGGGAGUGAAGGGGUCUGGACUCAGAAGGAAGGAAUGCGUCUGGAGAAGUUGCCCCCGGGGCUCCAGUCUCAAGGUCCCCACCAGAUCUCCAUCGGGACCCUUUCACGACCCCGAGCCCUUUCCCCAGGAGCUCCCAGCAACCUUCGCGCUUCUCCGGAGGGUGGGGUCUGCCGCGGCGCGGGGGCAGCCUCACCCCACCUCACUGCUGGACUCCGGAGAACCAUUUCUGGGACCGGGAGCUGUCCAGCGCCUCGGGUCCUGACGGACCGCUGAUUCGCCUAGGUGCCAUCGGACAAGCGGGUGCUCAGAGCCAGCUCUGGUGGCUCGGGAGCUUUCCCCCAACCAGGCUAAGACCACUAAACCACGCCUGGCCCGGAUGAGCUUGGAUGCAGCUCCGAACGUGGGGAUCCAUCGGUGCUGAGAACUGACCUAGGGAGCACCUUGACCCCUGCCCUAUCUGGGCACAAUUGAAGGGCCAAGUGCCACCAGCCCACUUUCCUGGAACCCUGUCUCAGACUUGGGCAGGAAGAAGAGCCAUGAGAGGCCAUAAAACCUGGGAAGGUUGGCCGGGCGCAGUGGCUCAUGCCUGUAAUCCCAGCGCUUUGGGAGGCUGAAGCUGGUGGAUCACCUGAGGUCGGGAGUUCAAGACCAGCUUGGCCAACAUG